UGUGUGUGUGUUGAUGUUUACUGUAUACACGUGGGUGCCGUAUUUUGAGCAAGGGUCACGGUACAGCAUGCAGUUCAGAGAAACCGAGCAAUGGUCACAAUGCUCGCAGUUAGCUCAGAUAUCUGAUAGUGUCUGCUCUUCUGACUGUGUCAGCAUUGCAAAAUGCUGACCUUAGCAUGGCUCUUUCUAACAUAGCCGAGGCUGAUGCAUCAGAGAGUAUGAAAACUCCUGACCUAUAGAGUCAGCAUAUAUUUGCAUUGGUCCUUGGCUCUGUGCAAAAACAACAUACUUGCAUAAUAACAUGUCUGUUGAAAUACAAAGGCAUAAUGCCAUAAUGGGUCAGAAUGGAGAAACAUGAUCAGUAGACCUUUUCAUCAACACUUUCGGCCACAUGGGAGAGUACUAUAGCUGUAACCCGUGACAUCUCUGAACCCUGGCACCAAAAACUGGCCUGGACACACCGCUGCCUUUCAUAUCUGAUUCUAUAAAAAGCAGUAAUCAUACUAUGAGACUGUGAGAUUUAUGUAGUAUAUUAUAAUCACUUUUUUUUUAAAUCUGAUAUAAUGACGUUUGAGUAAUCAGCACAUGUGUAAUGGUUACUGUCUGCUGAGAUUCUCUAUUCACUCAGUGACUACACUAAAUUACCUUUAUGUAUGAAUUUGUCUGUGUGUGUAUGAGUGUAUGGUGCUAUGUCUGGUUUCUCUACCAGGGUGUCUGCCUGUGUCACACCCAGUGACUCUUAAGAUCGCCUCCAGAUCCACCGCCACCCUGAGCAGGAUAAAGCAGUUACUGAAGAUGAAUCAUAUUGCAAUUAUUGCUUUUUACCGUUCGUAAUAUUUACAGUACCCAAGUACUUUUGGUUUGGCGAUCAAUAGAUGACAAUGAGACAAAAGAUCCAAAAUAAUGUAAGACAUGACUGACAGGUGUUUCUUGUUAUCCAGGUGUGUCCUGUAAAAUUAAUUCUGUGGUCCAGGUUUGAUCUGUGAAGAAUGCAUUUGUUGUUAAAGAAAUGUCUAAAUUAAUACUGUAUGAAUUCUAGAGAUCAGUCACUUUAAAGUUUUAAAAAAGAGAAAUCAGUCGGUGCCUUUGCACAAGCACUGAGCAUAGCCAGUACAAAAAUGUACUGAAAUGACCUCAAAAUGAAAGAGACCACUGGUAUGUUAACAACUAGACAAUGCCCAGGAAAACAACAGCAGUUGCAAACAUUGUGAGAGCUACUGUAUGAAGAGAAAAACCUAUAAACAGCCAUUGACAUCAUCAAUUACUGUACCUCCACAGGUCAGGGGUUAAAACUUUGAGAGCAGAGCAGAAAAAGCAAGAUGCAAACUGUUCAUCAGAAUUAAUAACCACAAAGCCACACUGGAAUUUGCAAAGAAAUACAGAGACAGAAAGACCAAAGUGUAAGCAAGAAAGUGUCCAGAAGUGAUUCCUUUCAUUUUUGUUUUAACCAAUAAAAUAACAGCCAUGUUGACUUCAAACAAACAAAAAAAAAAACAACGCAUAGUGACUGUAGCAUAAUAAUAUGUCAUACAGUACCUCACAUCCUCCCACCCUGAAAAAACAUAUAUAGUCAACCUGAUGAGCUAAAAAUAGUGAUGCCAUACAAGAUGCCUUGGUCAGUUCAUGUUGAUUUACCAUCACGUGUAAGGAUUUAGGUGAAGAUGAGUUGCUCGGCAACCACGUGCACGAGUGAGGAGUGGGAGUGCGCACUAACUAGGCGGAAUGACGCAAAACGGCAUUAUUUGUCGCCGGCCAAUUCUAAAUGACAGCUGCGCUACAAAUCCUCUAAUGUAUCCUCUCAUCCCUCACAAAGCUGAGUGCUCCCGAUUAACAGCAAAGGAAAGGGGGUGUCACAGUAAUGCUAGCCUGAUCGAGGGACAUGCUCCAGCAGAAAGAACAUUUGGAAUCAUAUAUAAGUGUGCCACAAAUACAAAAGCAAAAGGGAAAAGGCAACAAAAUCAGCUUGACCUUUACAUUAUGCUAUACAACAAACAGUGCAAGACUUGACCUUUCCUACGUUUACAAUGCUCCCAAAACCCUCCCAAGUUUUGAAACCAUCAGGACCUAAAGAUCAGCUAAACACAGAGCAGUCACAUGUUUAUAUCACAAACAUUUUCCUAUUUGCAGUGGACCAAGCAACCACAACUGUGACUGUUGAGAAAAUUCAAAUUAGUGACUACAAAACAGCACUGUGGGCAAAAAAAACCCAAGCAUGCCACUUUCCCUCCUUGCUUCCUGAAAGUAAUAAACUUGCUGACUUUGAUCAUUUACUGAUAUACACUGCUAGACGUCUUACACAUUUUCAUGGGCCGACUGAUGUGUGUGGCAGAUUGCAGUGCUCUCAAAGGUUGCCAGGUGGGACAAAACCACCUCAGAAAUGUACAUAGGUGAAUUUAACCAAUGCAAUUUUACACACUGAUUUUCUAAAAUCAUCUCUUAAACAAAAUGACUACAACUGCCAUACAAAUCGUACAACAAAUCAGCAUCAUAUUAUGUUUUAAUUGAAACAAUGGCAUUUUUAGUAACGGUUCUAGUAAGAUGAUAUAAAAACAAACCAGUCCACAUUUACUUUAAUCAUUUCCACACUUUUUAAAGGGGAUUUCAACAGAUUUUGGAACAUGUGGAAUUGUGGGCAUUUAGCUACAAGAGCAUUACUAAGGUGGAACACUGACACCAUGAUAAUUGGUUUAUUGUAAAGUGUUAAAAUGUAUUGCAAAUUUAGCAUACUAUGUCUUCAUGGAGCUCAUGUCACUUUGUACACAGGGGCAUUGUCAUGCUGGAAUAGCUUUGUGUGUGUUUGUGUGUGUGUUAUAGACUAUGCCUUUACUGUAUGGAUAAAAAAAACUACAGCUUACCUAUUUGCCUUUCAAAUUCAGUAUUUUAUUAAAUUGGGCAUGUGCCCGCUAUAUGCCACCAAAAACAACAAACGAGCAAAGAAAGAAAAGAAAAAAAAAAAAAAAAAACAUACAAACAAAAGUGAAUUACAAUGCUGUGGUCACACCUAGUGUACUUUAGCAGAUUUGUGCAAUUUCAAUGUCACCAUAGCAACAACUGAAGAUGAUACCAGCCACCUUGCAUACCUGACAAUCCCCCAUGUUCACUUGUUGCUAUGGUAAAUACUUUAAUGAAGCACUUCCAAAAGCAGGUUAUUAAGCUGAGUAUUUUCACUCAGAAGCAGCUCAGCGAUGAGUCACGGUGUUCUCUGGAAGGAGGCGCCAUCUUGGGAGGAUUAACAAAGUACCCCCCACACACAAAACCAUUAAGGCUAAGUCUACUUGGAUGAUGUCAUACAAAGAGUACAUAGAUCAGGGGUUCCCAAAAUUAUUUGCUUGUUGAACGUCUUAAUUCUUCAACCUACCUGAUACUUUAACUAGACUAACCUUUUAAAUGUUUCCAAUUCAGUUUGUAGAAUAUUUGUAUCUGUAUACUGUAUAUUUGUACUUGCAUUAGGCCAAAUUUGCAUUACAACUUUAUGUACUGAAAUAUUUGGACUUUAAUUGCAGACUUUCAGCUUUAAUUUAAGGUAUUUACAUUCAAAUCAGAUGAACUGUUUAGGAAUUGCAGCAUGUUUUAUUUGUGGUUCCCUCUUUUCAAGGCACCAAAAGUAAUUGGACAUCUGGCUGCUCAGUUAUUCCAUUUCCAGGCCUCCACAAGCAGCUGUGUAGCAUCAUGGAAAACUCACUGAACUCAUCAGUUCAUAUCCAGUCAGCAGAAUGUGGUACAUCGGUCUGAGUAGCACUCAUAUUCUAACAGACAAAUUGAUAUUGAUUGAAUUUAAAGUAAUACUGAACCUGUUUUUUUUUGUUGUUGUUGUUUUUGUUUUAUUUAACUAUUUCACAUCAUGUUCUGUCGCUUUUUUUUAACGUAUGCAUUCUAUUCAGUUGCUAAAUAUAAUCAUUUCAUUGCUAUUUACUAUUUUAUUGCUUGUUACUAUUUUUAGAGUUUUGCUGCUAGGUGAAUGUCAUCUCAUCUUUCUGCGCUAACUGAAACAGCUCUGGACUUGGCGUUCAUGUUUGGCCAGCACAGACAAAAUCUUUGCAAGAAUGAAUCAGGGCAAAAAUGAGCUGACAAGCUUAAUGUGAUUUAUAUCUUGUUACUGAGCUAGAGGAUUUUCUACAGAAGGGUAAAUAGAAGGCUGUCAGAAAAAAUAGGCUUUGUGUUGCUGCUAUUUACAAAGACCAUUGUCUUGACUGUAAAGCAAAUAGCACAUAUGGAAAUGUCAUGUAGUAUUUAAAUCCAUCAAUGAACUAAUUUUCCUAAUGUUAUACUCACACUAAGAAGUCACUGGUCACUUGCUGCUGCGUAACAGCCACUUAAAAGAUACUGAAUGAGCAAUUUGCCAUUACAGUCUAAAUAUAUAAAUAUACGAAAUUUAAUUCAUGUCGUGUAAUUGAAUUGCUUCAAAUUCAAAUUGUAUAAAAUGGUUUGAACUUCAGAUUCAAAUAUUCAGAACACUACAAGCGGGGAAAACAAAGGAGGAUUAAAAUCCUCAUCAUUUCAACUAUGGAUCCAACAAUGUUAAGAACGUUUGAUUAUUCUGAAAUUGAAAGUGAAUUUUAAAAAGCACACAGACGUCCAGCCAACCUCAACACCUGCACAGAUUAAUUAACCCGUUUAUGCAAAUCCUUAGCAAAUUUCAACAUAGAAUGUCACAUCUGUCUCUGUUGAACUUAAAAAAAUGCUUGUGUCUGGUCAUGUUCAGUAAAAUUAAAUUGGUAAUUAAAAAAAAGUAAUUAAUUGCAGGUUGGACCAAAGGUUUUCUGUGGAGAACUGAAGCAAUGCUUGACCAACAAUAUACACACCAUAGUACUGGUCUGAAUACACAGUAAAGCCAGUUGCUUGGAUUAGACACAUCACUGUCUUGCAACUAGUUUGCAUAGAAUUUAGAAAAUCUCGCAUAAAUGUCACUUUCCUCGUCAUCACCAAAAUCACUUCUCACGUUAACUAGAAAAUGAAUGGUCAUCUACCGUUUUUUUUGCCUGUUAGUCUAAACAUAGGUUAAUAAGGGCUUCUAUAAGACUGUGCUAAACUAGAGGAAGGAUUUUUCUUUACAGAACUUCACCUGCAACACAAUAAUAAUUCAGUCUUCUGCAGUUUAGUCGUUGCAUUUCAUCAUUUUCUGAUCUAUGAAAAAAGGUGAAAAAGGAGACACCUGAAAUGUGAACUUUUUUUUCUUUUUAUCUAACGUCAACUCAAAUGCAAAUAAAAGUCACUCGGCAGAAAAGCAAAUGACCGAAAGGGAUUGCACAUGGGCCGUGAAAGACAUGGUAGCUUUCACUUUGCCAUGACCUUGUCUAGGUGAACUUUAACCUGGGAAGUUGAGAACUUCCUUGUUGAGUGCCAGUAAACAACAGAACUCCGAAGGUCAGUAUUCUGUGUUGCUGCAUCACUAAAUUAUGGCAUCACGGAAUUUAAUAUUAUGGAAUUUAUUCAAUAACAAAAGCACGAGAUAAAAUAUCUUGUGCAGCAUAAUUUUAUAUAUUUUAUAUAUUUUAUAUAUUUUUAGUUGUCACAUCUGAGAAUUUCUAAAAUUUAGAUGGUCAUUUAUAAUAUUGCAUUUGUAAGCUUUUAUAUAAGAUCUAGUGGCUGAGCAGUUUGUAUUUCGAGCUAAUAGUUCCUCCUGGGUCUUCAGAACAUACUAUUCAUGAUUCAGCUCUGGAGUGAGAGCACUGUUGUAGUCAGGGAACUUGAAUAUGCAUGAAUGGAAAUGAAUAUAAUGAAAGAUUAGUGCUGUGUGCAAGUCACAGAAUUUCUUCCACUCCAUGCCGUAGCAUGGAUCUUAAUGGAGACAGCUUUGUGCACAGGUGCAUUAUCAUGCAGGAACAUGUUUGGGCCGCUUAGUUCCAGUGAAGUAAAUUAUUCAUGCUACAGCAUACAAAUGUGUGCUUCUAAAUUUGUGGCAACAGUUUUGAGGAAAACCUCACAUGUUUCCCCAAAAUGUUUGGACUUAUAGUGUAUGUUUUUGAUUAGAUACAUAUAUUGUAAUCUUAUUUUUACAUCUAGACAAGAUUUUUAAGCUAUUGUUACAUCUCCCUGUGAAAGUCUCAGUUCUUUAGAAAGACAUGUGAUGCAUGUGACCCCAUAUAGUACACAGAUAUCCAGCCAUUUAUCCAGCCAACAGCAGCACCUGCCUAGAUGAGUUAACCUGUCUAUGCAAAUCCUCAGCAUAUUGCAACAGGAUGUCACAUUUGUCUUUGUUGGACUCUGGAACUGGUCGUGUCUAGUCAUGUACAAUACCUCCAGCUUAUAGUCAUAUAGAUCUUAAGCAAAAUGACUUCAUUUGAAUUCCACACAAAUCUUAUUUCCGAUCUUAUUAAAAUGCACAUGGUUGUUAAUAUUCCUUCAGCAGGACAGAUAGGAAUCUUUUCUUUUGAGGUUCGAUAUACAGCUGCCAUACCUCCUAAGAAAUGGGGACUAGAUCAUACUGUACAUGUAGAACAGUGUGCAGAAUGCUGACCUCCUUAUUCUACUUCAUUCAGCCUAAAGUAAAUCUGUACUCUAGAUAUCUACAAAUCAACUACACUGUAUUCAUACACGAAGCUACAUGACAUUCCUCACCUUCUUAAUUCAGUUGACCUUUAGGUUACCAGAAAAGCCUCCACUUUCCCUUUCUAACAAUUGUCUCCGGCCUUAGCCCAUCCCUUAACCCAUCCCUUUGCUGAAGAGUGGAUCUGAAAAUACCUUCCCGCUGUAUAAACUACUUGUCUUGAUUACUCUGUCCUCUCUCCUUCAAAUCAGCCCUUUCAGUAUCCUCCAUUCUCUGGUUUUCAUAAAAUUGGACUAUGAACUUUCUGCUCUUCUAGUUAUUACAAUUGCUGUGACAAAAAUAACAAUACUGAAACUCUAAACUUCCUUCAGCUCCACCAUUUACUUCUGCCAAGGAUAGUUUCUUUGAAGUUAAGGUACCAGUAAUUGGCAGAUGAUCAUUACAACAUCCUCCCUCUACAGUAGGCCUUCUUCUGCACAUCAUCUUCAUUUAGUUCUUUGCAUUCCUUUACAGUGAAUGAAGCUUUAUCCAGUGAGGCUUCCAAAUAUCUGUUGGAUCUUUGUUUCCUCCUUGCAGUCAUGUUGUCAGUCAUCUGCCUCCUCAGUAAUCAUUUACACUAAUGAAGUACUAGAUCCAAACCCAGCCUCAAGUGCGCACCAAGACUAUCCUUCUGUUGUGAACGCUCUCUGGAAGCUCUCAUAUAUUACUUUUUUUUUUUUUUUUUUUUUUUACCUCUGGAUGCAUCUCCAGUUUUCAGUAGCUUCCAGAUGAUCCUGGACACUAUGUUCAAUAUUUUACUCACAGGACAGCAAAGAUCUACUACUCUUAAAAGAUCUACUCUAACCCUCAGGAUGAUCUUAUAGGCUAUCAUGAAUUGGUAAAGAGUCCAAGCAGCAUCAGUCAACAAAAAAUAAUCCUCAAAGAUUUGUACUUGGCCCAUGUAACUGUGCAGUAUUUUGUUAGGAACAGUCAGCCACAUUCACAGCUUCUCUCAUCAUUGCUGUACUAUAAUACUCAGCUCUCUCUGUCCUUCACCUUUUAGGACAUUGCAGUUUCAGUAUGCAUUUCAGCUUACAUGAUUUACAAUGUUUGCAGUUCUGCUUGUUCAUAUUUAGCAUGGAUGAGGGUUCACCACCUGUAAUUCAGUUCGACACCACAUUACUGUUUAACACAUACUGUCAUUAUUCUAAUUAAGAACUGUUACUUUGGGUUUCCAGUAACAGUGUUGCCUGCCCAGUCUACUUUAUGGCACUUUGCAGGUUUGCUUAUAAUAUCAGGAAAAUCAAGCUGUACCUGUCAUAUAUAAUACGUUAUAAAACUCUAGGCAUUUGCUGCAGCUCUGCUCUUCUGUUGCCGCAGCUCUGCUCUUCUGGCUGGCUUAUGACUUUGCAUUAUUAAGCCAUAACAACUUAUUAAAAAUUGGGUGCUACAUCUAGACUUCCAUCAGCCAAAAUGUUUUUUUCUUACUACACUAAAUGGACACUAGUAACUACAUGUGACAUAUAUAUUGCAGAAUGAUGUGACCACCCAUGACUUUACUGACUUUAGAGUAAAAUUUACAUGGGUCUAUGUUCCAACCUAUACCCUGAUAGUACAUGAAUGAAUUGUAUCUGUUGAAACUAUCACUUUGGGGCCAAACCAAAUUUUUCUUCUUCAUGGUUCUAUGAUGUUGGUUUUAUGGUGGUCACAUCAUUCUGCAAUAUAUAUGUCACAUGUAGUUACUAGUGUCCAUUUAGUGUAGUAGUUUGUAAAGUGGGGGGCACGGUGGCUUAGUGGUUAGCAUGUUUGCC